UACGUAGGGUGCGAGCGUUGUCCGGAAUUACUGGGCGUAAAGAGCUCGUAGGUGGUUUGUCGCGUUGUUCGUGAAAACUCACAGCUUAACUGUGGGCGUGCGGGCGAUACGGGCAGACUGGAGUACUGCAGGGGAGACUGGAAUCCUGGUGUAGCGGGUGGAAUGCGCAGAUAUCAGGAGGAACACCGGUGGCGAAGGCGGGUCUCUGGGCAGUAACUGACGCUGAGGAGCGAAAAGCGUGGGGAGCGAACAGG
rnacentral:rRNA from 1 species